rnacentral:tRNA from 1 species
UCUAAUAUGGCAGAAAUCAGUGCAAUAAACUUAAGAUUUAUUAAUAAGAUCUUUAUUUAAAUCUUUUUUAGAA